CAGACUGAGGGUCAGGGGAGAGGGGGGCAUACGGAUAUGGCACAGAGGGGGAGCAAUGACAGGGGAUGUUGUAGAACUCUCGUCGGAGAGAGGAGGAGAACUUCUUCAAAGUAGACACACCUUGAGGAGAUGUCGCAGUGGAGCGGAAGAAAUGUGUGGGAAGGAACUGCAGAUGCUGGAGAAUGGAGGGUUA